GUUUGGUUCUGCCUGCCUGCCUCCACUCCAGCCUCCAUCAUGUCCAUCAGGGUGACCCAGAGGGUCCUACAAGAUGUCCCCCUAUGGCCCCUGGGCCUUCAGCAGCCACUUGUAUACCACCGGGCCCAGUGCCCACAUCAGCUCCUUGAGCUUCUCCUGGGUGGGCAGCAGCGGCUUCCAGGUGGCCUGGGAAUGGGUCUGGGUGGCGGCUAUGCCCGGCCAGUGGUAUGGGGGGCAUCACAGCCAUCACAGUGAACCAGAACCUGCUAAGCCCCCUCAAUCUGGAGGUGGCCCUCAACAUGCAGGCUGUGUGCAACCAGGAGAAGGAGGAGAUCAAAGCCCUCAACAACAAGUUUGCCUCCUUCAUCGACAAGGUGCGGUUCCUGGAGCAGCAGAACAAGAUGCUGGAGACCAAGUGGAGCCUCCUGCAGCAGCAGAAAGCAGCUUGGAGCACCAUGAAUGGCAUGUUUGACAACUACAUCAGCAACCUUCUGCUACAGCUGGACACACUGGGCCAGGAGAAGCUGAAGCUGGAGGGGGAGCUUGGCAAUAUGCAGGGGCUGGUGGAGAACUUCAAGAAUAAGUAUGAGAAUGAGAUCAACAAGUGUACAGAGAUGGAGAAUGAAUCUGUCCUCAUCAAGAAGGAUGUGGAUGAAGCUUACAUGAACAAGGUAGAGCUGGAGUCUCGCCUGGAAGGGCUGACUGAUGAGAUCAACUUCCUCAGGCAGCUACAUGAAGAGGAGAUCUGUGAGUUGCAGUCCCAGAUCUCGGACACAUCUGUGGUUCUGUCCAUGAUAACAUCUGCUCGCUGAACAUGGAUAGCAUCAUCGCUGAGGUCCUCGCCCAGUACGAGGAGAUCGUCACCCGCAGCUGGGCUGAGUCUGAGAGCAUGUACCAGACCAAGUAGGAGGAGCUGGAGGUUCUGGCUGGGAAGCAUAGGGAUGACCUGCAUCGCACGAAGACAGAGAUCUCCAACUUGAACCGGAACAUCAGCUGGCUGCAGGCUGAGAUCGAAGGUCUUAAAGGCCAGAGGGCUUCCCUGGAGGCUGCCAUUGCGGAUGCUGAGCAGUGCGAGAAUCUGGACGUUACCGAUGCCAAGGCCAACGUGGACGAGCUGAAUGCCGCCCUGCAGUGAGCCAAGCAGGGCAUGGCGCGGCAGCUGCGUGCGUGAGUACCAGAAGCUGAUGAAUGUCAAGCUGGCCCUGGACAUCGAGAUCGCCACCUACCGCAAGCUGCUGGGGUGCGAGGAAAGUCGGCUGGAGUCUGGGAUGCAGAGCAUGAGCAUCCACACGAAGACCACCAGCAGCUACUCAGGUGGGCUGAGCUCGGCCUACAGGGGCCUCACAAGCCCUGGCCUCAGCUGUGGCCUGAGCUCCUUCCCACCCUGCUUUGGCUCUGGUGGGAGCUCUGGCUCCUUCAGCCAUACCAGCUCCUCGAGGGCUGUGGUAGUGAAGAAGAUCAAGACCCACGAUGAGAAGCUGGUAUCUGAGUCAUCUGAUUUCCUGCCCUAGUGAAUGGCCACUGCGGCCCCUCCAGCCUACACCCUCGACUUGCUACCCCAGAGCCUGUGGGGGAGGCAGCUGUGCCAGGGAGCACAGGGAAACAGGAGACCCACCUGAGGCUCAGCCCCAGCCCUCUGCCCACUAGCGAGGGGAGUUACUGCCUGGGGUACCCCCUCUUACCCAUGCCCCCAACUGAAAACCAAUUCAAUUGCUUUUCCCAAAAUAAAGCAUCAGCUAGCUCUGCCAACUCUCCCUGCCCCCCAAAGAAAAGAGAGAGAGAGAGGAAUCAAAGUGUAUCACUAUCCAAAGAAACCACAAAGACAGUGAGGGAGGAAGAAAGGAUCUACAAAACAACUAGAGACAAUUAACAAAUGGCAAUAGUUAAUCCUUACCUAUCAAUAAUUAUCUUGAAUGUAAAUGGAUUAAAUUUUUCAAUGAAAAGAUACAAAGUGGCUAAAUGGAUUUAAA